rnacentral:rRNA from 1 species
GUGGGGAAUAUUGCACAAUGGGCGCAAGCCUGAUGCAGCAACGCCGCGUGAGUGAAGAAGGCUUUCGGGUCGUAAAGCUCUGUCCUAGGGGAAGAAUAAAUGACGGUACCCUGGGAGGAAGCCCCGGCUAACUACGUGCCAGCAGCCGCGGUAAUACGUAGGGGGCAAGCGUUAUCCGGAAUCACUGGGCGUAAAGGGUGCGUAGGUGGUUCGACAAGUCAGAAGUGAAAGGCUACGGCUUAACCGUGGUAAGCUUUUGAAACUGUUGAACUUGAGUGCAGGAGAGGUAAGUGGAAUUCCUAGUGUAGCGGUGAAAUGCGUAGAUAUUAGGAGGAACACCAGUGGCGAAGGCGACUUACUGGACUGUAACUGACACUGAGGCACGAAAGCGUGGGGAGCAAACAGGAUUAGAAACCCGUGUAGUCC